rnacentral:lncRNA from 1 species
GUACAUGUUCAAACUUUAUUUAUUUAUUUUAUUUUUUUGGUGAAUAUUUAUAUAUGUCUUUAUUUUUUUGGUGAAUAUUUAUAUAGUAUCUUUUUAUUUUUAUUUAUAUAUCUCUUUAUUUUUUUGGGGACAUGUUCAAACAUUCUUCGAUUCCCAAUUUUUUCAUAAAAUUUUAGGGUUUCUCUUUCAACAUCAAUUUCAAUCGAGACUCUCCCGUUUCGAAUUUUCCGAUCCGUGAAUAAAGGUUGAACGAUUUCAAUCUAGGGUUUCGUUUCGUUCCGAGAAUAAUGCCUCCGAAGACGACGAAAA